UAACUCGAAAAUUCUGAAGAGUGGAAGCUGCAAAGGCGAACACGUCGCUGCAAGCAGCCCUGCUGCUACGAAAAGAAUCCCACCCCCUCUCUCCCUUCUCAAGCCCUAGAACCAGAACCAGUAAAAGACUUCCCUUGUUGGAGAGAUCCGACUUCACAAUUCGUGUUGGCUUUGUUUAUCCCAUCGCGUCUUUAAAUAACGAUCAGCAUCUCCCUAAUCGGCCUUCUCUUCAAAAUCCGAUCUUUCGAGGGGAAAGAAGCUAUCUCAACAAUUUUUCUUGGAUUUUAUAGCUGUCCGCAGAAAAAUUUGGUUUUUUGAUCUGUUUUUUCUUCCUAGAUCGAGUUUGUGAGGUAAAGAUUGGUUUUUUAUGAUUGCAGUUUCUCUAGCUGAAGUUUUAGAUCUAUCGAUCUGGAUUUUUCUCCCUAAGUGAGCUUUAUCAUUUUUCUGGGAGAUUGCCGUAGGGUUUUUAUAGUUGGGGAAGAAUGAGAGGAAAGCUGUGGUUCUCGGUCUGGGUUCUGUUUCUCUGGGGCUCUUCUUUGGGGAGAUUUGUGGUGGAGAAGAAUAGCUUGAAGGUGACUUCACCUGAAUCACUGAAAGGGAUUUAUGAGUGUGCUAUUGGGAAUUUCGGUGUUCCCCAGUAUGGUGGGACGAUGGUCGGGAUCGUGGUCUAUCCGAAGGCGAAUAAAAAAGCCUGCAGGAAUUUUGCUGAUUUUGACAUCUCCUUCAAAUCUAAGCCAGGAGGGUUCCCCACUUUUCUUCUUGUGGACAGAGGAGAUUGCUACUUUACAGCAAAGGCAUGGAAUGCACAGAAUGCAGGAGCUGCUGCAAUCCUUGUUGCUGAUGAUAAGGUAGAACCUUUAAUAACAAUGGACACACCUGAAGAGGAAAGUGGUGGGGCAGAUUAUCUUCAAAACAUCACAAUUCCUUCAGCACUUAUUAGCAAGAGCUUUGGUGAUAAUCUAAAAAAAGCACUAGAAAAUGGUGACAUGAUUAAUGUCAAUUUGGACUGGAGGGAAUCUCUACCUCAUCCUGAUGAGCGUGUGGAGUAUGAGUUUUGGACCAAUAGUAAUGAUGAAUGCGGCCCAAAGUGCGACAGUCAAAUUGAGUUUGUAAAGAGCUUCAAAGGGCCAGCACAAAUAAUGGAGAAAAAGGGCUAUACCCAGUUUACACCGCAUUACAUUACUUGGUACUGUCCUGAAGCUUUUAUCCUGAGCAAACAGUGUAAAUCGCAGUGCAUCAACCAUGGCAGAUACUGUGCCCCUGAUCCAGAACAGGACUUCAGCAGAGGUUAUGAUGGGAAAGAUGUGGUGAUCCAAAACUUGCGGCAGGUCUGCGUAUUUAAGGUUGCUAAUGAAAGUGGGAAGCCUUGGCUGUGGUGGGAUUAUGUGACUGACUUCUCGAUCAGGUGCCCAAUGAAGGAAAAGAAGUACACAAAGGAAUGUGCUGAAGAAGUAAUCCAAUCACUGGGUGUUGAUCUCAAGAAGAUAAAUAAAUGCAUUGGAGAUCCUGAUGCUGAUGAAGAAAACCCUGUGCUUAAAGCUGAACAAGAUGCUCAGAUUGGGAAGGAUUCUCGUGGUGAUGUUACCAUAUUACCAACUCUUGUCAUUAACAAUAGACAAUACAGAGGUAAGCUGGACAAGAGUGCCGUGCUUAAAGCAAUCUGUGCAGGUUUCCAGGAGACCACUGAGCCAGCUGUUUGUUUGAGUGAAGAGAUAGAGACAAAUGAGUGCUUGGAAAAUAAUGGUGGAUGCUGGCAAGAUAAAGCUGCAAAUAUCACCGCUUGCAGGCUUCAGGAUCUGGACGAUGUGAAAUUAACAAUGGAGGCUGUUGGAAGAAAACCAAAGAUGGCAAGACAUACUCUGCCUGUGUUGAUGAUGGAUGCAAGUGCCCACCCGGCUUCAAAGGUGAUGGGGUCAAAACUUGUGAAGAUAUUGAUGAAUGCAAAGAAAGGACUGCUUGUCAAUGUUCAGCAUGCAAAUGCAAGAACACGUGGGGAAGUUAUGACUGCAGCUGUAGUGGUGAUCUGUUGUACAUUAAGGAGCAUGACACAUGCAUAAGUAAAAGGGCCACCACAGAGGUUGGCUGGAGCUUUUUGUGGGUUAUUUUCUUUGGCCUGGCAGUAGCUGGAGUGGGAGCCUAUGCGGUGUACAAGUACAGAAUCCGGAGCUACAUGGAUUCAGAGAUACGUGCCAUCAUGGCUCAGUACAUGCCAUUGGACAAUCAAGGGGAAGCUCCCAAUCAUAUCCCUCAUGGGGACAUCUGAGUCGCAACAGCUUGUUGUGGGAAGGAGAGCAAAAAAAAAGGGGGGGGUUGUCUGCCACCAGUUGCCCGUUUUAAUGGGAUUAUAUUUGUACUAGGCUAGGAUUCGCACAGGUUGGUAUGGUUGCUACUCCCUUGAUUAUGAGGAAUCUAGGCAGCUUUUAUGUAAAUUUGAAGUUCAUCGAUGGUUCAGGUGUGUAAUGCUCUCCUGCUAUUUGUAACUUUUGGACCACAGACCACAGAUCUAUGCGAUGAAUAAUGUGAAUUUCUCCCUCAUUAGAUUGUCAGACAAAGCAAAA